CACGUAGGGCGCAAGCGUUGUCCGGAAUUAUUGGGCGUAAAGAGCUCGUAGGCGGUCUGUUACGUCUGCUGUGAAAACCCGGGGCUUAACCCUGGGCUUGCAGUGGAUACGGGCAGACUAGAGGCAGGUAGGGGAGAACGGAAUUCCUGGUGUAGCGGUGAAAUGCGCAGAUAUCAGGAGGAACACCGGUGGCGAAGGCGGUUCUCUGGGCAUGUCCUGACGCUGAGGAGCGAAAGUGUGGGGAGCGAACAGG
rnacentral:rRNA from 1 species